rnacentral:rRNA from 1 species
CCACGCCGUAAACGAUGAAUACUAGGUGUCGGGGAACAAUAGUUCUUCGGUGCCGCAGCAAACGCAUUAAGUAUUCCACCUGGGGAGUACGUUCGCAAGAAUGAAACUCAAAGGAAUUGACGGGGACCCGCACAAGCGGUGGAGCAUGUGGUUUAAUUCGAUGCAACGCGAAGAACCUUACCUGCUCUUGACAUCCCACUGACCGGACAGUAAUGUGUCCUGUUCUUCGGAACAGUGGUGACAGGUGGUGCAUGGUUGUCGUCAGCUCGUGUCGUGAGAUGUUGGGUUAAGUCCCGCAACGAGCGCAACCCUUGUCUUUAGUAGCCAGCAGUUCGGCUGGGCACUCUAGAGAGACUGCCAGGGAUAACCUGGAGGAAGGCGGGGAUGACGUCAAAUCAUCAUGCCCCUUACGAGCAGGGCUACACACGUGCUACAAUGGCGUAAACAAAGGGAAGCGACCCCGCGAGGGUAAGCAAAUCUCAAAAAUAACGUCUCAGUUCGGAUUGUAGUCUGCAACUCGACUACAUGAAGCUGGAAUCGCUAGUAAUCGCGAAUCAGAAUGUCGCGGUGAAUACGUUCCCGGGUCUUGUACACACCGCCCGUCACACCAUGGGAGUCGGAUAUGCCCGAAGUCAGUGACCCAACCAUAUGGAGGGAGCUGCCGAAGGUGGAGCCGAUAACUGGGGUGAAGUCGUAACAAGGUAGCCGUAUCGGAAGGUGCGGCUGGAUCACCUC